GACGUAGGGGGCGAGCGUUGUCCGGAAUUACUGGGCGUAAAGAGCGUGUAGGCGGGUAUUUAAGACAGGUGUGAAAUACCGGGGCUCAACCUCGGGGCUGCACCUGAAACUGGGUAUCUUGAGGGCAGGAGGGGGAAGUGGAAUUCCCGGUGUAGCGGUGAAAUGCGUAGAUAUCAGGAGGAAAACCGGUGGCGAAGGCGGCUUCCUGGACUGACCCUGACGCUGAGACGCGAAAGCGUGGGGAGCAAACAGG
rnacentral:rRNA from 1 species